UUCGACACACUAUCAUUAACUGAAUCCAUAGGUUAAUGAGGCGAACCGGGGGAACUGAAACAUCUAAGUACCCCGAGGAAAAGAAAUCAACCGAGAUUCCCCCAGUAGCGGCGAGCGAACGGGGAGGAGCCCAGAGCCUGAAUCAGUGUGUGUGUUAGUGGAAGCGUCUGGAAAGGCGCGCGAUACAGGGUGACAGCCCCGUACACAAAAAUGCACAUAUUGUGAGCUCGAUGAGUAGGGCGGGACACGUGGUAUCCUGUCUGAAUAUGGGGGGACCAUCCUCCAAGGCUAAAUACUCCUGACUGACCGAUAGUGAACCAGUACCGUGAGGGAAAGGCGAAAAGAACCCCGGCGAGGGGAGUGAAAAAGAACCUGAAACCGUGUACGUACAAGCAGUGGGAGCCUCUUAAUGGGGUGACUGCGUACCUUUUGUAUAAUGGGUCAGCGACUUAUAUUCUGUAGCAAGGUUAACCGAAUAGGGGAGCCGAAGGGAAACCGAGUCUUAACUGGGCGUUAAGUUGCAGGGUAUAGACCCGAAACCCGGUGAUCUAGCCAUGGGCAGGUUGAAGGUUGGGUAACACUAACUGGAGGACCGAACCGACUAAUGUUGAAAAAUUAGCGGAUGACUUGUGGCUGGGGGUGAAAGGCCAAUCAAACCGGGAGAUAGCUGGUUCUCCCCGAAAGCUAUUUAGGUAGCGCCUCGUGAAUUCAUCUCCGGGGGUAGAGCACUGUUUCGGCAAGGGGGUCAUCCCGACUUACCAACCCGAUGCAAACUGCGAAUACCGGAGAAUGUUAUCACGGGAGACACACGGCGGGUGCUAACGUCCGUCGUGAAGAGGGAAACAACCCAGACCGCCAGCUAAGGUCCCAAAGUCAUGGUUAAGUGGGAAACGAU
rnacentral:rRNA from 1 species